GGGGUUAUGGCUCCAGUGGUGGAGCACCUUUCUAGCGAGUAGGAAGCCCUGAGUUCAAACUCCAGUACCCCCA
rnacentral:tRNA from 1 species